GUUGAAAAUGCUGAUGUUGAAGUGAAUGAGCAAGAGGAAGAUGGCAAUCAGAAUGCCUGUACUGCAAUUAAGAGAACCUCACCUGCACCUGCAACAAAGCUUGAUAUUCAAGAGGCAGCAGCUAAUGCCGAGGAGCCUGAUUCUGAUGAAUCAGAUGAUUCAUUGUAAUUUUACACAUUUGUUGAAUUUUUCUGGCGGUC
rnacentral:misc_RNA from 1 species